AUGGUGUCUGUUGUGUCAUGUUACUUCCUUAGUGUUCAGUACAUGGUACAUAUAGGGCUGCGUACAGUAGUUACAAGAGUCGAUCGUGACGAGAGAUUAUUAUUUCUUCCUCAUACUAAUAUCUGGUUUACAAUGUGGCGAGAGAUUGUCAAGUUUGUAAGCUUUUCAUCACACAACCCUUUUCCUCCUCAUAUAGAGUUGCUCUGUUGUACCAAAAAUGUUAUCUAUUCGUAUGUGCUUGUACAAAAGGAUAUGCUUGUACAGAAGGAUACAAUUAUUAAUUGUCUAGUUACGAUUUUUAGCAUUUGUUGUGCUUCCUAG
rnacentral:rRNA from 1 species